UGGGGAAUAUUGGACAAUGGGCGAAAGCCUGAUCCAGCCAUGCCGCGUGUGUGAAGAAGGUCUUCGGAUUGUAAAGCACUUUAAGUUGGGAGGAAGGGUUGUAGAUUAAUACUCUGCAAUUUUGACGUUACCGACAGAAUAAGCACCGGCUAACUCUGUGCCAGCAGCCGCGGUAAUACAGAGGGUGCAAGCGUUAAUCGGAAUUACUGGGCGUAAAGCGCGCGUAGGUGGUUAGUUAAGUUGGAUGUGAAAUCCCCGGGCUCAACCUGGGAACUGCAUUCAAAACUGACUGACUAGAGUAUGGUAGAGGGUGGUGGAAUUUCCUGUGUAGCGGUGAAAUGCGUAGAUAUAGGAAGGAACACCAGUGGCGAAGGCGACCACCUGGACUGAUACUGAC
rnacentral:rRNA from 1 species